AUUUAACGCUGGCGGCAGGCCUAACACAUGCAAGUCGAACGAGUGGCGGACGGGUGAGUAAUGUCUGGGCAACUGCCCUAUGGAGGGGGAUAACUACUGGAAACGGUCGCUAAUACCGCCUACCAUCGGAUGUGCCCAGAUGGGAUUAGCUAGUAGGGGGGGUAACGGCUCACCUAGGCGACGAUCCCUAUCUGGUCUGAGAGGAUGACCAGAGAAAUUGGAACUGAGACACGGUCAAGACUCCUACGGGAGGUAGAAGUGGGGAAUAUUGCACAAUGGGCGCAAGCCUGAUGCAGUCAUGCCGCGUGUAUGAAGAAGGCCUUCGGGUUGUAAAGUACUUUCAGCGAGGAGGCGUUACUCGCAGAAGAAGCACCGGCUAACUCCGUGCCAGCAGCCGCGGUAAUUC
rnacentral:rRNA from 1 species